ensembl:lncRNA
UGUGUCAGUUAUGAAGUAGGUUGAAAAUAUGGAAUAAGUGUGUAUCCAUCUCACCUUCCCUUCCAGAUGCCACUGGAUUUAGAUGAGGAGCUCCUUGGAGACAGAGACUCACUCCCUGCUUGUCCAGGACCAGUUUAUCAACACAAAAUUAAUUGUCUCUACACCUGUUCAUUUCAUGGGGAGACUGAAAAUAAGAAGAUAAUCUCUGUAGACUUCCAAAGGGAACUGUGCCUUCAUCAUUCCAUAUGACCCUGACGGCUGUGCCCUCCUCAGCCAGUGAGAGAACCUGUGACUCCUGGAAAUAAACUUGGCAAGUAAAUGAUGAGAAUACA